GCCUAUUGGUGUUGUAAUCUUCCUUCCCAUUUCAUCAAAUCUAUAAUCAGAUGAAAGAAAACGCGUUUCUAACUGUAGAUUAAUUAAUGGACUAGAAAUAAACAAAUCAUCUAGUCCUAGUGGUUUAAUAAGUCACACCACUUUUUUGGGUGUCCAAAUUUCUUUCAUCAGUGUAGCUGUUGUCACUCGUUAGAAACAUGGACGGGUAGGUCUGAAUGUCCGCUGAGAGAAGAUUAGCAGCUAGCCAGCUAUCUUUUGAACUUAAACCCUUUUCCAAUGCCUCUCAUCUCCUCUCUAUCUCUCUCUUCAAAUUCAAAUCUCCAUUUCCAUCUUUCUUUCUUCAUUUGAAUCUUGAUCUCUCUCACUCACCAAAGCCAUGUCCCUUACGCCUUUGAUGUUUAAGUCAUUGGUGAGGCUACUGACAUCUCUAAUUGGUGAGCCGGCAGCUUCAGUCACAACCUUGUUAUACUACAGUGAUCUUCUACCUCAGAAUAUCAUCCUAGAAAGAUUGGUUCAGCACCAAUUACUUGAUGAUGACAAUUAUUUGUUCCAUUUCCUCAUCAACUUCUUGAGAUGUUUUUGGUAGCGGAAAAAGCAAAUUUUGUUUUCAUUUGCCAGUAUCUUCGUGUUCUUCAUCUCCACCAUGUAUUUAUUGAAGGGUGAUUCCAAUUAUAUUAUUUUUCCUUGUUUUCUUUAAAUUUUACUAGUGGAUUAGAUAGUAUUUUUGAUGAUAAGUGGAUUAGAUAGUACUAAUCGUUAUUAAUUGGUGAGUGUAUUUAUGACUUGGAAUGGUAAUGGGAAUCGGAAAUACGUUUUUUCAA